rnacentral:rRNA from 1 species
ACUUAUCACCAUUCCAGAUUGAAUAUACCCGAUCUCGUCUGAUCUCGGAAGUCAAGCAAUCUCGGGCUUGGUUAGUACUUGGAUGGCUGACCGCUUGGGAAUACCAAGUGUGAUAAGUA